CGGCGAUCGAUUGGAAUGGUGGACGAUGGCGCCAGGGCCAGCGGCUCCAGGCGCGGUGUCUUCGAUUCGGAUGACUACGACACUGACAAUGGGAGCGAUGGAUCCUUGGGAAGCAGCGAUUGCAAAGGCAGCGAUGCCAGCUUCGAUGUCUUCUCCAAGAUUAUCAUCGGCGUCUGUGUCAUGGAGAAGAAGGCAUUGUCUCCUCCGAUGACGGAAAUCUUGAAUCGUCUACGCUCUUUUGGAGAGUUUGAGAUCAUCAACUUCGGAGAUAAAGUCAUUCUCGAGGAGCCCGUGGAAGAAUGGCCCGUGUGUGAUUGCCUUAUCGCAUUUUAUUCGUCUGGUUUUCCCUUGCAAAAGGCAGAAGCAUACGCGCAAUUGAGAAAGCCUUUUCUUGUUAAUGAAUUGGAACCCCAGCAUCUUUUGCAUGACAGGCGCAAAGUUUAUUCGCGGCUGGAAGAAUAUGGGAUAACCAUUCCAAACUAUGCUUUGGUGAAUAGAGAGUUUCCAAACCAGGAACUGGAAUAUUUCUUGGAGGAAGAGGAUUACAUCGAAGUGAAUGGCAAAAGAAUUUUUAAGCCAUUUGUUGAAAAGCCUGUGAAUGGAGAUAAUCACAGCGUCAUGAUCUACUAUCCUAGCGCUGCUGGCGGUGGAAUGAAAGAGCUUUUCCGCAAGAUUGGAAAUCGUUCAAGUGAGUUUCAUCCCGAGAUAAGACGAGUUCGAAGAGAAGGCUCUUAUAUCUAUGAGGAGUUUAUGCCAACUGGGGGAACAGAUGUCAAGGUAUACACUGUUGGACCAGAAUAUGCUCAUGCUGAGGCACGAAAAUCACCUGUUGUUGACGGGGUUGUUUUGAGAAGUCCCGAUGGAAAAGAGAUACGAUACCCAGUACUACUGACGCCAGCCGAGAAGCAGAUGGCCCGAGAAGUCUGUGUGUCUUUUGGCCAAGCAGUGUGUGGUUUUGACCUCUUGCGAUCUCAAGGGAGGUCUUAUGUUUGCGAUGUCAAUGGAUGGAGUUUUGUAAAAAACUCGUACAAGUACUACGAUGACGCUGCAUGUGUUUUAAGAACCAUGUUUUUGGAGGCUAAGGCACCACACCUUUCAAAGAUUCCGCCCUGCCUCUCCUGGAGCGAACCCAGGCCACUUGAAUUACCACGACAGGGAAGUAGCGUGAUGUCCGGUACUUUUGGACAAUCCGAGGAGUUGCGCUGUGUCAUAGCCGUCUUACGCCAUGGUGAUCGGACCCCCAAGCAGAAAGUAAAAAUGAAAGUCACGCAAGAUAGGCUACUGAACUUAAUGCUAAAAUAUAACGGCGGAAGACCAAGAGCGGAGGCAAAGCUGAAAAGCGCUGUUCAAUUGCAAGAUCUUCUGGAUGCUACAAGAAUGCUUGUACCAAGAGCAAGAUCUGGAAAGGAAAGCGACAGUGAGGCUGAGGACCUUGAACAUGCAGAAAAAUUGCGACAUGUCAAGGCAGUUUUGGAAGAGGGUGGCCAUUUUUCUGGGAUUUACCGGAAAGUGCAACUUAAGCCUCAAAAGUGGCAGGAAGCCACAGAUGGUGAAGAGGAAAGACCAACUGAGGCGCUUAUGGUUCUGAAGUACGGUGGUGUUCUUACACACGCCGGAAGGAAACAGGCCGAAGAGCUUGGACGUUCUUUUCGGAACACUAUGUAUCCAGGGGAGGGAACUGGAUUGCUUCGUCUGCAUAGCACUUAUCGUCACGAUUUAAAGAUCUAUAGCUCGGAUGAAGGGCGGGUGCAGAUGUCAUCUGCAGCCUUUGCAAAAGGUCUUCUUGAUUUAGAGGGCCCCCUGACGCCUAUCCUGGUUUCGCUUGUAAGCAAAGAUUCACCAAUGCUUGAUGGACUAGAUACAGCCAGUAUCGAAAUGGAGGAGGCGAAGGCCAAGCUGUACGAAAUCAUGAUGGCUGGCCAAUCAUGUUGCGAAUGCACAAAUGAGCCUUGGAUGGUAGAUGGCGCUGGACUACCUCCCAACGCUCUGGAGUUGAUGAAGGAAAUGGUACAUCUGACAAAGAAAAUUACCGCACAAGUCAAGCUCCUCUGCAAGGCGGAAGAGGAGCGGCUGGCCGAUGGUUUAAAUGAAGAAAUACCUCCAUACGAUCAAGCCAGGGCUUUGGGGAAGACGAACAUGGAUGUGGACCGAAUUUCUGCCGGUUUGCCUUGCGGCAGUGAAGGCUUUCUUCUUAUGUAUGCACGUUGGAAGAAACUCGAGCGUGACAUAUAUAAUGAGCGUAAAGAGCGCUACGACAUAAGCAAGGUUCCGGAUGUGUACGAUUCUUCCAAGUACGAUCUUCUACACAAUGCUCAUCUAAAACUGGAUGGUCUCGAAGACCUUUACACGGUGGCAAAGGCACUAGCAGAUGGAGUCAUACCGAAUGAAUAUGGUAUAAACCCAAAGCACAAACUGAAAAUUGGAUCGAAGAUUUGCCGUCGAUUGCUGGGGAAGAUUUUGAUAGAUCUGAGGAACACCAGAGAAGAGGCUAUCAGUGUUGCAGAGUUGAAAAACGAAGAAGUUAAAAUAAAUCCAGAUUCUGUUGGCCCACCCAAGGGGAAACAUGAGGAGGACAAUAAGUCUCAAAAAUCUAGUGUGAAGAGUGAUUCUCGGAGGUCCAGUUUGACGAGUGAGAAGUCUAAUACAGACGAUCACGACGACAAAGAAACGCAAUAUCGCCUCGAUCCAAAAUACGCAAAUGUUAAAACACCUGAAAGGCACGUCCGCACUCGGCUGUACUUUACUUCGGAAUCCCAUAUACACUCGCUGAUAAACGUGCUACGUUACUGCCAUCUCGACGAUUCGUUGGAAGGAGAACCUCCACUUGUAUCAACUGAGGCGCUGGAGGAGAUUUUCGAGACAAAAGAGCUUGACUACUUGACUCACGUCGUCCUACGGCUUUACGAAAACACGGAGGUAGCGCUGGAAAGUCCUCGGCGAUUUAGAAUCGAGAUUAUGUUCAGCUGUGGUGCUGCUUUGAGUCCUUUGGAGGCAUCCCCACGGUUUCGGGAUCACACACUCCCGGUGCUGUCGCCCUCAACACUCCAGGAAGAGGGAGCUUUCCUGUCCUUGAACAGGCUGGAGAAGAUGAUCCGCGCGUUUGCCAUGCCGGCGGAGGACUUCCCUCCGGCAACAACGCCGCAAGGAUUCUCGGGGCUCUUCGUCAAAGGAGGUGGUGUUCUCGAGCGCCUUGCUAGCCUGUGGCCGUUUAAUAAGAACGCCAACCUGAAAGCCUGAGAUAUGAUUGACAAGCUCUUCCACCGUUCCGAUGACUUGACAACAUCAAAGUAAAGUUUUGACAACGAGGAACAAACAGUAAGUCUGGUCGGUAAGAGGCUGAUUUGCGAGUGACGGUCGAGGAUGGUCUGGUUUUCUCUUUACCUUCCGACUAAUCUAUAGUUUUUGUAGGCUUAGAUAUCAUCUAAGUCCUUGAACUGGUGCCAAAAUUUUCCCAACUGGCUAGUUCGCUCAAGAGGAGGGAAAUUUAUGGCAGCAAGGUCUAACUUUCCACCCAAGUGCUUACACUUCAAGCGCUAGAAAUUUUGUAAAUGUAAAGUGCGGUUUAAGUUCUUUCGAAUAUAACCACCUCUUGCUUAAGUUUA